rnacentral:rRNA from 1 species
UACGGAGGGGGCUAGCGUUGUUCGGAAUUACUGGGCGUAAAGCGCACGUAGGCGGAUUGUUAAGUUAGAGGUGAAAGCCCAGAGCUCAACUCUGGAAUAGCCUUUGAUACUGGCAGUCUAGAGUUCAGGAGAGGUGAGCGGAAUUCCGAGUGUAGAGGUGAAAUUCGUAGAUAUUCGGAGGAACACCAGAGGCGAAGGCGGCUCACUGGACUGAUACUGACGCUGAGGUGCGAAAGCGUGGGGAGCAAACAGG